AUUGAACGCUGGCGGCAUGCCUAACACAUGCAAGUCGAGCGAGCGGCGGACGGGUGAGUAAUGUAUGGGGACUUCCCGUUCGAGUGGGAUAACUCCUGGAAACGUUAGCUAAUACCCCAUACUAUCGGAUAACCCAUAUGGGAUUAGCUAGUAGGUGAGGUAAUGGCUGACCUAGGCGACGAUCCCUAGCUGGUCUGAGAGGAUGAUCAGCCACACGGGGACGGAGACACGGCCCAGACUCCUACGGAGGCAGCAGUGGGGAAUAUUGGACAAUGGGCGCAAGCAUGAUGCAGCCAGGCCGCGUGUAUGAAGAAGGCCCUAGGGUUGUAAAGUACUUUCAGUCGGGAGGCGUUACCGACAGAAGAAGCACCGGCUAACUCCGUGCCAGCAGCCGCGGUAAUUC
rnacentral:rRNA from 1 species